rnacentral:rRNA from 1 species
AAAUUGAAGAGUUUGAUCAUGGCUCAGAUUGAACGCUGGCGGCAGGCCUAACACAUGCAAGUCGAGCGGUAACACAGAGAGCUUGCUCUCGGGUGACGAGCGGCGGACGGGUGAGUAAUGUCUGGGAAACUGCCUGAUGGAGGGGGAUAACUACUGGAAACGGUAGCUAAUACCGCAUAACGUCGCAAGACCAAAGUGGGGGACCUUCGGGCCUCAUGCCAUCAGAUGUGCCCAGAUGGGAUUAGCUAGUAGGUGGGGUAAUGGCUCACCUAGGCGACGAUCCCUAGCUGGUCUGAGAGGAUGACCAGCCACACUGGAACUGAGACACGGUCCAGACUCCUACGGGAGGCAGCAGUGGGGAAUAUUGCACAAUGGGCGCAAGCCUGAUGCAGCCAUGCCGCGUGUAUGAAGAAGGCCUUCGGGUUGUAAAGUACUUUCAGCGAGGAGGAAGGCGUUAAGGUUAAUAACCUUGGCGAUUGACGUUACUCGCAGAAGAAGCACCGGCUAACUCCGUGCCAGCAGCCGCGGUAAUACGGAGGGUGCAAGCGUUAAUCGGAAUUACUGGGCGUAAAGCGCACGCAGGCGGUCUGUCAAGUCGGAUGUGAAAUCCCCGGGCUCAACCUGGGAACUGCAUUCGAAACUGGCAGGCUAGAGUCUUGUAGAGGGGGGUAGAAUUCCAGGUGUAGCGGUGAAAUGCGUAGAGAUCUGGAGGAAUACCGGUGGCGAAGGCGGCCCCCUGGACAAAGACUGACGCUCAGGUGCGAAAGCGUGGGGAGCAAACAGGAUUAGAUACCCUGGUAGUCCACGCCGUAAACGAUGUCGACUUGGAGGUUGUGCCCUUGAGGCGUGGCUUCCGGAGCUAACGCGUUAAGUCGACCGCCUGGGGAGUACGGCCGCAAGGUUAAAACUCAAAUGAAUUGACGGGGGCCCGCACAAGCGGUGGAGCAUGUGGUUUAAUUCGAUGCAACGCGAAGAACCUUACCUGGUCUUGACAUCCACAGAACUUUCCAGAGAUGGAUUGGUGCCUUCGGGAACUGUGAGACAGGUGCUGCAUGGCUGUCGUCAGCUCGUGUUGUGAAAUGUUGGGUUAAGUCCCGCAACGAGCGCAACCCUUAUCCUUUGUUGCCAGCGGUCCGGCCGGGAACUCAAAGGAGACUGCCAGUGAUAAACUGGAGGAAGGUGGGGAUGACGUCAAGUCAUCAUGGCCCUUACGACCAGGGCUACACACGUGCUACAAUGGCAUAUACAAAGAGAAGCGACCUCGCGAGAGCAAGCGGACCUCAUAAAGUAUGUCGUAGUCCGGAUUGGAGUCUGCAACUCGACUCCAUGAAGUCGGAAUCGCUAGUAAUCGUAGAUUAGAAUGCUACGGUGAAUACGUUCCCGGGCCUUGUACACACCGCCCGUCACACCAUGGGAGUGGGUUGCAAAAGAAGUAGGUAGCUUAACCUUCGGGAGGGCGCUUACCACUUUGUGAUUCAUGACUGGGGUGAAGUCGUAACAAGGUAACCGUAGGGGAACCUGCGGUUGGAUCACCUCCUUA